rnacentral:lncRNA from 1 species
AACCUAACCUAACCUAACCUAACCUAACCUAACAACAAAUGCACACACAGCAGAGUAUAGACACAAGAGAUGAUAGACACGAAUCAAACAAUUUGUUAUUCACCGUUUUUUUCUUUUUUGCAUGUUAUCCAUGUUUUAAAAAACACCCAAGAGAUGAGAGACAAAACAAAUCAUGCGGCUAAACCUAUUCAGGCAGUACAAAACUUGAUCGGUGAAAAUCUUCCAAACAACGUAAGAGUAGAGCAAUAAGGACCAGUAACUAACAACUAAUGCAGAUCUCAUUUAUAUAUCAAACGAUCAAAUGAUGCAUGACGGAAAACAAUGUUAAAAACAAACAACAAAAUCCAGUUCAAGAGAAAUGUCGUAGAAUGAAUUCACCGCAAUAAACCCAAACAAUGGGACCGACAAUUAGAACACGAAAUAAAACAGAGUGCUUUUGACGUAAAAUAUAUCAUGAUUUUUGUAGCAAAAUAUCAUGCAUGUCAUUUAGCAAUAACAAUUAAAACAAAAUCAGAGAAUGGCUUUAACUUACAAUUCGAACCAAGCAUUCCUUCAUUCCCCUUACGUGCUUUGACCUUAUUUUAGCUUUAUAUUCCAAUUCAAUAUCUUUAGACGCCAAUUGCAGACACCCAUCAAUUCACUGUAAAUUAUUGAUGCACUUCAUGCGGCUCCUUUCAGAGUUAACCCACAAUUAAAAAUAUUAAUCACUUUGAUUAGUUAAAAUGUUAAUCCAGGAACAUUUUCAUCCCUAUCUUCACGUUGCACAUACAAAAUGACAUGACAUUUACAUUACUUUUUGAAAUACAACCUGCACACCAACAACGUCAUCAAUAGACCAGACAUCACCUAAGUUACAUCUGCACGACAUCUUCAAUGAAAAACAGGGAAACAAUGAACUCUAUAGAAAAGAACCGAACUCCACGACAUCUUCAAAGAGCAGUUCCAUCAACAUGAAUAUGACACACUGCACUCAUUCAUGAAAAGUAAAAUCCAUACUGCAUAAUCAUAUCCCAAAAAAUACUGCCAGAUAGUUCACAUUUAAACACCAACUCUAUGAGUUUCUAGCAAGGGCCCUCUGCAGGAAUGCAUCUCCACAUAGCUGCCAGACGUAUGAACUUUGACAAGAUAACAAAUAAAACGAUAACUUGAUAAGCCAGAAAGCAUGAACCUCUUAAUCUGUGCCUUAAACUCCCAAAAGAAUUCUGGCCGGCCUAAGUAGAAGACAAUGAGUCAGUCCAACCCCAAACUCCACGAUAAUUAAGAUUAUUCAGCACAAGACCACUGCAAGAGAACAUAGUUGUUGAAACAAAACCAAAAUUCACGACAGUUGAUGUAACAAAACCAGAAUUCAUCACUUCGGUCCAUGUAUAGUGCCAUCUUGAAAAUCAAAGCCAUGAUGCAACAAACUCCAUUUUAUAAGCAGUCCAUACUCCUCUAGGAUCCAAUGAAAUAAGGCUCCGCCCCAUCACUGCAUACAUUUAGAAUCACAUCUUACAGCGGUUUAAAGAAAAAACUAAUCACAAGAAAAGAAGCAUCAUACUCCCUCCUGAAAUCAAACCACAGGAGGGUAACUGUGUUUAAAGACAACUGCAUCUGAAAUGAAAAUGCCGGAUCUUAUCCAAGGAAAAUUCUUUAAAUUUAAAUAGCCAAACAAACUUCAGCAUCUCUCAAAUAGUUGUGAAUCCCAUCAGUCGUACAUCAGGCUGUGCAGUAUUUGAACAUAAACCAAGCCAAGAUGCAUAAAACCAGAGCCAGAAGACAAUGAAGCAAAGAAGCGUAAACUGAAGAAAAUCUUUCUAUGAAAACGGUGAAGGAUAACAGAUGGAUAGCAAACCAAAUGUGAGGACGGUUCCAUAAAGUAGACAUACGAUAGACUCCAAGCUAAAAAAAUCUGCACGGCAAACAAUCCCCAAGCAAUACGAAAUCAAAUCAUAAGCCAAGAACCCAAACCCCUUCAAAAAGCAGUAUGCUCCCCUUCAACAAAGUUGAACCCAGACAGAAGUUGGGAUGUCUCUGCAUAAAAAAAGUACUCUCAAACAUAGAGCAAAUUUAUAAACUAAAAAAAUAAAAUAAAAUCAUAAAGAUCUCAUAAGAACAACUUAGAAUAGAAAAAAAGGCCAAAGAGUAUCUGACUCCAUCCUAAAAGCAGGCAGCCCCGUUUUUCAUUCAACUGAGUGAGACAAAAGAGUUUGGCAUCUGCAAUAGAACAGUGACCGUAUAAUGGUUCAGCAUCUCAAAAACCAAAAACAAAUUCAUAAGACAGGAACUAUGGAAAUCCCCCCUUUCAGAAGCAGCCCACUCUCCUUCACUAAACUUGCACACCACGUACAAACUAAUGUCGGGACGUGUCUGCAUAGAAAAAACAUUGCUCAAACAACUGAAGCCAAGCAAAGAAAAGAAGACAGUAAGACAAAAGACCCCCUCUUAAAAGUCAACUGCUCCCCUUUAAUGAGUUUGACUCGAUCCAAAAUAGAAAGGCAUCUGCACAAAUAACUCCUCAAACAAUUUCGCAAUGCUCUAAGAAAUACAAGAUCAAGAAAUAGACCAAGAAGUAUUAACCCCUCUUUAAAAACCGGCAGACCGUUGUCAUCCGACACUCUUGAGACUUCAUAAACAGGUUAUUUUGAAAUCGAUCUGCAAAAAACAUUGUUCCAAUAACUGUUUCAGAUCUCAACCAGGAGUACGAUAUUAUAUCAAAAAGCAAAAACCGCUCAAACCCCCUCAGACUGCCCUCCUUCCUCUGCUUGCCAUAUACGGAUGGAGGAUAGAAUGUGUCUGCAUACAGAAACAAUGCUCAACUCAUGGCGCAAGAUUGGAUACAACAUCUAAGAAUGGACAUUUAAAAGAUAAAGGAAAUCCCCCUUAAAAGCACCCCUUUCCCCUUGAACAAAGUGAGAUUCCAUAUCCAACCUAGAUUUAAAAUGCAUCUGCAAAGAAUAUUGCCCAAAUAAUUUCAAAAGCUCUCUGAGAAUAGGAGAUGAAAACUUAAACCAAUAACCACGGAACCCCAUUCAGAAGCAGAUAGCACAUCUUUCUUUGACCGAGUCAGACGUCAUAACCACGAAAUUUUGGGAUGCAUCUGAUAUGAAACAUUGAUCAUUGAUCAAAUAAUACUAAAGAUAACAUAAACCCAAGAAAUAAGAAUUUAAAUCAUAAUCCAAUAACUAAUCAAACCCCCUCUUGGAAGCAGCUUGUUCUACUUCAACAAAGUUGGACCUCAUUUACAGACGAGUUGGAAAGUGUCUGCAUACAAAGACAUUGCUCAAAUAAUAGCGCAAAACCAUACUCUAGGAUAAGAAAACAAAAACAUACGGCAACAGAACCCCGUCAAUAUUCACUGUUCUCCUUUAACAAGGAAGGACUCCAAAAACAAGGCGCUUCAACGUAUCUGCAAACAAGCAACUGGGUAGGCACAAAUUGCUCAAAUAUAGAACCAAACAAAGCCCAAGAAUAGAAAACUAAAUCAGAAGCAAAAAGAAAGAACUUGAACCCCCAACUAAAACCAGCGCAUUCUCCUUCAAAACGUGAGAUUCCAUGAACAAAAAACAUACCAUCUGCAGAAAAAUCAUUGCUCAAAAAUGGUGCUAGAUGGUAAAAGCUUUUAAAAAAGAAGAUAAUAACGCAUGAGCCAAGAAUCACCAAACCCUCUUAUACAAUCAUGCAGCCCUUUUUCCUUUGAGUGAAACUCCAUAACAAGAAAAUUUUGGGAUGCAUCUGAUAAAAACAGUGAUCUUUGAUCAAAUAAUGAUUCCAGAUGGCAUAAAUCUCAAGAAAUAAGAAAUUAAACCCAAGAAAUAAGAAUUUAAAUCAUAAUCCAAUAACUAAUCAAACCCCCUCUUGGAAGCAGCUUGUUCUACUUUAACAAAGUUGGACCUCAUUUACAGACGAGUUGGAAAGUGUCUGCAUACAAAGACAUUGCUCAAAUAAUAGCACCAAACCAUACUCUAGUAUAAGAAAACAAAAACAUACAACAACAGAACCCCUGUCAAUAUUCACUGUUCUCCUUUAACGAGGGAGGACUCCAAAAACAAGGCGCUUCAACAUAUCUGCAAACAAACAAUUGGGUAGCCACAAAUUGCUCAAAUGUAGAACCAAACAAAAGCCCAAGAAAAAAAAACUAAAUCAGAAGCAAGAAGAAAGAACUUGAACCCCCAACUAAAAUCAGCGCAUUCUCCUUCAAAACGUGAGAUUCCAUGAACAAAAAACAUACCAUCUGCAGAAAAAUCAUUGCUCAAACAUGGUGCUAGAUGGUAAAAGCUUUUGAAAAAGAAGAUAAUAACCCAUGAGCCAAGAAACACCAAACCCUCUUAUACAAUCAUGCAGCCCUUUUUCCUUUGACUGAGUGAAACUCCAUAACAAGAAAAUUUUGGGAUGCAUCUUAUAAAAACAGUGAUCUUUGAUCAAAUAAUGAUUCCAGAUGGCAUAAAUCUCAAGAAAUAAGAAAUUAAACCCAAGAAAUAAGAAUUUAAAUCAUAAUCCAAUAACUAAUCAAACCCCCUCUUGGAAGCAGCUUGUUCUACUUUAACAAAGUUGGACCUCAUUUACAGACGAGUUGGAAAGUGUCUGCAUACAAAGACAUUGCUCAAAUAAUAGCACCAAACCAUACUCUAGGAUAAGAAAACAAAAACAUACAACAACAGAACCCCUGUCAAUAUUCACUGUUCUCCUUUAACGAGGGAGGACUCCAAAAACAAGGCGCUUCAACAUAUCUGCAAACAAACAAUUGGGUAGCCACAAAUUGCUCAAAUGUAGAACCAAACAAAAGCCCAAGAAAAAAAAACUAAAUCAGAAGCAAGAAGAAAGAACUUGAACCCCCAACUAAAAUCAGCGCAUUCUCCUUCAAAACGUGAGAUUCCAUGAACAAAAAACAUACCAUCUGCAGAAAAAUCAUUGCUCAAACAUGGUGCUAGAUGGUAAAAGCUUUUGAAAAAGAAGAUAAUAACCCAUGAGCCAAGAAACACCAAACCCUCUUAUACAAUCAUGCAGCCCUUUUUCCUUUGACUGAGUGAAACUCCAUAACAAGAAAAUUUUGGGAUGCAUCUGAUAAAAACAGUGAUCUUUGAUCAAAUAAUGAUUCCAGAUGGCAUAAAUCUCAAGAAUAAAAAAUUAAACAAGUCAAGAACCACCCAAACCCACUGUACAAAGCUGUUUCCUUCAACAAGGUAAGAAUGUGUCUGCAUACAGAAGCAUUUUAUUCUUAGACAACGUAGAAAAAUCUAUACUAAAAAACAAAUUAACAGGAUUAUAAGACAAGAGAACCCCCUCUUAGAUAUCAGCAUGCACUUCUCUAAAAUGCGACUCCUCAACAGACACUUAAGACAUCAGCAUACACAGAAGUGGGAAGCUGUCCGCAUGAAUAAACUUACUCAAAUAUAUCACCAAAGUAAAGAAACAGAAAAAUAAGUCAGAAGACAACAAGCAUAAAAACCCCCCUCAAAACAGCUUAUUCUCAGAAAACAAAGAGAGACUGCUUGAACAUACAUGAGCUAUUCUGCCAAGAACACUGCUCAAACCCAAAAAUAAUAAAUCAAGAUAUAUACGUAUGUGUGUGUGUAUAUAUAUAUAUAUUAAGACAUAAAUUGGAGCAAUCCAUUUUCCUUAAACUACCAGUCAAUUUAAAUUUGAUCCGUAAAACAUUGUUCAUAAGCCAAUAAAUAAAUAAAUGUGAAAAAAGAAGCAUCAAACCCAUCUUAAGUAACAAUCUUGCUCCUAAAAGACGCAAUAAUCACCUGAAUACAUACAGAAACCAACAAAGUCGUUACAGACUGGAACGAGCACAAAGAUACGUCUACAACAACAAAGCCUUUUCCCACUAAGUGGGGUCAGCUGUACAAAUAUACUUCUAUAAACCAAAUUUGAUUGAAGAACUAAAAACAGACCUUGAGGACAAAAAUCAGAAUCUGAAAGAACCAUACACGUUCCAAAUUUACUGAAUUUACUGUCAGUCACUAGAAGGGUUAAACAAGAGGAAAAACAUAACAUGAUUUUAAACAAAAAGGGUUAAACAAGAGGAAAAACAUAACAUGAUUUUAAACAAAAAUUCACGAGUUUAAGAUUUAUUUUUUUUUUUAAGAUUUAAAUAGCAUAUGAUCCGACCUCAAAACCAUCAAAAUAUUAGUCGAGUAAGAUACCUACCUAACCCUCCUGCCUAAACCAUCGAUGCUGAUUCAAUCUGGUAAACAGGGCCUGAAAAUUAACAACGUCGUUCCACUUAUUCAAAAGGAUGGGAUCAAAAUUUCUAAGUUAUUAUGAACUUUUGGAAGAAAGAAAAAAUGGAAGAGGUAACCCCCAACGUAUAAGGUAAAAUUAAUGAUCUUCCACUCCGAAUCAAAACCCUAGGGACACGUUAUCUGGUAAACAGGGCCUGAAAUUUAACAACAACGUUCCACUUAUUCGAAAGGAUGGGGAUCGAAUUUCUAAAUUAUUAUGUUAUAUAAACUUUAGAAAGAAAGAAAACGGAAGAGGUAACCGAUGUGGUGCAAACGCAUAGGUAAAAUUGAUGAUCUUUCCCUCCGAAUCGAAACAAAAGCUAAACCAGUUACUGGAUCCAGACCACCCUGGGACAGGAAAUCAAAAAACCGCAAAAGCAGAUCAAGAAGAUAAAACGAGACCUCAAUCCAACUAAUUGGAAAUCAUACCAACAUCACAAAUUCUUGUCCGGGAGACCGCGAUCGGUAUAAAAAUCCCAACAAUUCACAACCUUUAAACGUAUUAACUUGGUAGAAAAAAGGCCAUCGCCAACAUUCCAGCCAAACGCUAAAAACACACCAAUAACACUACAACGCAGAAUUAAUCAAUCCCAAAAAGUAAGUCGAAAGGCGGAGAACUUAAAUAUUUAAAGGGAAUUCAACCUUCAAUCAUCGUCAGAUGACUGGGAUCGAAAAAUUUUAACCUGGAAAGAGAAAUCGUCAUCGCCAGGAAUCCAGCCAACCCUAAAAUCACAACCAUAACGAAACGCAAUCCAUAAAAAUCAACAAACCCAAACGGAGGAAUCGAGCCGAAAUCGAAAUCUAAAAACGCAGAUUCAACACCAGCACAGAGCGAUGAAACCUGAUCGCUGACGCCACACCGAUCAAGGGCGCCAUCCGAACAAGCGAGUUGGGAGGAUGCCUAAGGGGGUAUUUAUAGGUAUAGUGAGUGAAUACGAACGGCUGAGAUUAAACCGUGAUGGAAACAAUGGACGGUGGAUAUUAAGGUAGAAGGGGUAAGUGAUUCGCUGUCAAC